rnacentral:rRNA from 1 species
GUGCCAGCCGCCGCGGUAAUACCAGCUCUCCGAGUGGUAGGGACGUUUAUUUGGCCUAAAGCGUCCGUAGCCGGCCGGGUAAGUCUCCCGUUAAAUCCAGCGUCUCAAGCGUUGGGCUGCGGGAGAUACUGUCCGGCUAGAGAGUGGGAGAGGUCAGCGGUAUUCCUGGGGUAGGGGCGAAAUCCUUUGAUCCCAGGAGGACCACCAGUGGCGAAGGCUGCUGACUAGAACACGUCUGACGGUCAGGGACGAAAGCUGGGGUAGCGAACCGGAUUAGAUACCCGGGUAGUCCCAGCCGUAAACGAUGCAUGCUAGGUGUUGGGUUGGCCACGAGCCACCCCAGUGCCGCAGGGAAGCCGUUAAGCAUGCCGCCUGGGGAGUACGGUCGCAAGACUGAAACUUAAAGGAAUUGGCGGGG